GUGCUUUGUGUGCCCUGGGUCCUGCAGCAUGAAGAGAAUGUUGUACAAUAAGUUGCUGCACAUCCUUCAACUCAGAUGCACAAAAUCUGCAACACCUCAAGCUAAAACCAGAUGAGGUAGCUCCUGUUUCCUUUGUGCAGAGACAUCGCUCCAGCUGUCCACAGCUUGCUCAGUGACCCAGGAAAAUAUAUCCUAAAUCACAAUGCUUGGUACAAUAGUCCAUCCUUCAAGUAAUCGUAUAUCACAUGCACCACUCACAAGUUCCCCUCUGUGUUAAUCCACAGAGCAUAGGAGUUGUUACAGCUCCCAGCUACGCAGCCUGGCUCUGAACCUCAGCCUGCAACAACCUGGGCUUUUAGCUCUGGAGGCACCUACUUCAAUCCCAGUGUGUCAGCCAAGACAGAGGCCAUAACAAACUUCCCUAACAUGUUCCAGUCCUACCCCAGAGAGCUCCUUCUGAGGGCUGAACAACAUUACUCUGUACUGAACCACAGCAGAUGAAGAAAGUAAAAUUUCAUCAUCCUAGCAGUUCAGUGAAUACAAUUCCUGCAUUUAUCAAGUACCAGAUACCUGACACCAAGGCAAACAAACAGGCAAAUAUGAGUGUGUUGCUGUAUCUUUCAGCUCCCUCCUUACACAUCUCCCCAGGGGUAAAAAACCUUAUGAAUGCUAAAGUGUUCUCAUAAGGUUUUCUUUUUAGCUAGAUUAAUAGCUCUUUAGAGGGCUCCUUCACCACAGGCUCCUUUGGACACUGAUGUUUUGUUGAACUUGUACGCCCUUCCUCUGAAAUGGAGGUUUCUCGAUAACCAUUUACAACACUCAGUGCAUUGAUGUACAAGAGUGCAGAGCACCAGUCACAGAUUUCUGGAAGUGUGUCCUCAGCCAAAUCACAAAUAAACUCCUGAAAGAAGAAUGUGGUCAGACGUAGGGGAAUGACUUAACAGCUUUUAUUAAAAGGCUACUCUCAAAUAUCACUUAAACACUUCAUGGAACUUAGAAGCUUUUCUAUGUGAUCAGAAGAUCAUAGUCUAAUGCCUGAGUGUACAAUCUAGGAGAUUUUUCUCACCCUACCAUUCCAAUUUUCAGAAAGCACCGACUUGCUUUGGAAGAUCACAUCUUUGCGUUAAAAGUCUUAAAAACACAAUCCGAGCUCUUCUGAAAAAGUAUCUUUGGGAACACGAGGGGGUGUGUGAGUAUCUUCAAAGCUGUAGUUUGACUAACCCAGCCGCUGCUUAAAUCAUCAAACAGGCAUGCAUUUGGGACACAGAGGCACUACAGUCCUGGCGUAUUCAGCCCAGAAUCCUCAUGGUUAUGUGAAUAAUUAUCCCUUCAUACCGGCCUAGAAAUCUUGGACAGAAUUAGCAAUCACAGCAAGGGUGCUAAGAAAUAAUUUGUACCAUACAUCUGUUAGUGUCCCUUAGCCCAGCUGGAAUUUACAUGCUUUCCUCUCUAUCUUGGGUUUCUCAAAUUGUGUUGAUGUGUAUUUAAGCCGCAUGAACAUUUGAGGCGGUCACGCAGGGGGGAGAUGCAAACUCUGCUGGUACUUUGAUUCCAAAUCUCUUAUCAGGACGGGUAAGGAAAGAACACGUCAGUGGCAUUUGGUCUCCUGGUCUAAGUUUCUCUGGCUAACACACAAUGUGGUGGGUGAAAAGUGUGAGGUCAAGGCCAUCACAAGUGUGGAAGAACUCACAGACGACUCAGGCAAGCAUUCUCCAACAGGUAUC